UACGUAGGGGGCAAGCGUUGUCCGGAUUUAUUGGGCGUAAAGAGCGUGUAGGCGGUCUGGUAGGUCCGCUGUGAAAACUCGAGGCUCAACCUCGAGACGCCGGUGGAAACCAUCAGGCUAGAGUCCGGAAGAGGAGAGUGGAAUUCCUGGUGUAGCGGUGAAAUGCGCAGAUAUCAGGAAGAACACCCGUGGCUAAGGCGGCUCUCUAGUACGGUACUGACGCUGAGACGCGAAAGCGUGGGGAGCGAACAGG
rnacentral:rRNA from 1 species